rnacentral:rRNA from 1 species
GACGAACGCUGGCGGCGUGCUUAACACAUGCAAGUCGAACGAGGUGGCGAACGGGUGAGUAACGCGUAAUCAACCUGCCCUUCAGCGGGGGACAACCGUUGGCAACGACUGCUAAUACCGCAUACUGCAGGAGGGGAUUGCGUCUGAUUAGCGAAUUGGAGGGGUAACGGCCCACCAGGGCGAUGAUCAGUAGCCGGUCUGAGAGGAUGAACGGCCACAUUGGGACUGAGACACGGCCCAGACUCCUACGGGAGGCAGCAGUGGGGAAUCUUCCGAAAUGGACGAAAGUCUGACGGAGCAACGCCGCGUGAGUGAUGACGGCCUUCGGGUUGUAAAGCUCUGUUAAUCGGGACGCGGUACCGGAAUAGAAAGCCACGGCUAACUACGUGCCAGCAGCCGCGGUAAUUC